rnacentral:rRNA from 1 species
AUUGAACGCUGGCGGCAUGCUUUACACAUGCAAGUCGAACGGUAACAGGGAGCUUGCUCCGCUGACGAGUGGCGAACGGGUGAGUAAUAUAUCGGAACGUGCCCAAGAGUGGGGGAGAACGUAGCGAAAGUUACGCUAAUACCGCAUACGAUCCAAGGAUGAAAGCAGGGGACCUUCGGGCCUUCUGCUCCUGGAGCGGCCGAUAUCGUAUUAGCUAGUUGGUGAGGUAAAGGCUCACCAAGGCGACGAUCCGUAGCUGGUCUGAGAGGACGACGAGCCACACUGGAACUGAGACACGGUCCAGACUCCUACGGGAGGCAGCAGUGGGGAAUUUUGGACAAUGGGGGCAACCCUGAUCCAGCCAUGCCGCGUGCGGGAAGAAGGCCUUCGGGUUGUAAACCGCUUUCGGCCGGAACGAAAUCGCCGGGGACAACACCCCCGGUGGAUGACGGUACCGGAAGAAGAAGCACCGGCUAACUACGUGCCAGCCGCCGCAGUAA